UACGUAGGGUGCGAGCGUUGUCCGGAAUUAUUGGGCGUAAAGAGCUCGUAGGCGGUGUGUCGCUUCGGCCGUGAAAACCUGCAGCUUAACUGUGGGCGUGCGGUCGAUACGGGCAUCACUGGAGUUCGGCAGGGGAGACUGGAAUUCCUGGUGUAGCGGUGAAAUGCGCAGAUAUCAGGAGGAACACCGGUGGCGAAGGCGGGUCUCUGGGCCGAUACUGACGCUGAGGAGCGAAAGCGUGGGGAGCGAACAGG
rnacentral:rRNA from 1 species